rnacentral:tRNA from 1 species
GAGUGUAUAGCUCAAGUGGUAGAGUGCAUGCCUAGGACGCAUAAGGUCCUGGGUUCAAUCCCCACUACCUCCA